rnacentral:rRNA from 1 species
GAUGAACGCUGGCGGCGUGCCUAAUACAUGCAAGUCGAGCGAACAGACGAGGAGCUUGCUCCUCUGACGUUAGCGGCGGACGGGUGAGUAACACGUGGAUAACCUACCUAUAAGACUGGGAUAACUUCGGGAAACCGGAGCUAAUACCGGAUAACAUGUUGAACCGCAUGGUUCAACAGUGAAAGACGGUCUUGCUGUCACUUAUAGAUGGAUCCGCGCCGCAUUAGCUAGUUGGUAAGGUAACGGCUUACCAAGGCAACGAUGCGUAGCCGACCUGAGAGGGUGAUCGGCCACACUGGACCUGAGACACGGUCCAGCCUCCUACGGGAGGCAGCAGUAGGGAAUCUUCCGCAAUGGGCGAAAGCCUGACGGAGCAACGCCGCGUGAGUGAUGAAGGUCUUCGGAUCGUAAAACUCUGUUAUUAGGGAAGAACAAAUGUGUAAGUAACUAUGCACGUCUUGACGGUACCUAAUCAGAAAGCCACGGCUAACUACGU